GAUAUUCAUGCACUUAAUUUCACAUAAUCACUGCAAACAAAUUCAGAAAAGAACUUCUAUUUUUCCACACAUUUUCUAUUGGUUUGUCAUCUAGUACUCGUUUAAAUUGAGCAUUGGAGGAAUACCCUUUAAACAUCCAGAGGGUUCAACAGCUCCUCCAAUUGAUGGCUGAAGUUAAGUAUGUUACAAUUCAGGCACAAACUCAAAUAAUUUUAGCUAGCUGAAAGCCUUUGGAGUUUGGAGACUAAUGAUAAGUUUCACAACUAAUGAUAAGUUUCACACUGGACAGACAGACUAGAAUAAAGUCAAAUAAGCAGCAGUUGAUAUAUUGCCAUGAAAUGGAGUUUAUAUCCUCAUGUAGAUCUAAGGCCACCUAAGUCAAAAGACAUUUUCUUCAAGUUGAUUGGUCAGGAAAAAAGAAAUUGCAUAAUUCUUGAGGCACUUUGUUUAUUAAGAAAAUUCCAAAGUUUAACAAGCAAACUCCUAGCUAAUCCUUCAACCAUUCAUGUAUAUUGUCUAUACAGAAUGUUAACAGUGCAAUUCCUACCAGAAGAACUUUAGGACAUACUGUUCCCGGUAAAUUUGUAAUUUAAGUCUUCCUAAUAGAAACCAAAUAUUU
rnacentral:misc_RNA from 1 species